GGAUGCCGGCCCUUGAGGCCUAGAGUUGGACACCCCUGACUUAGGGAGUAGUUGAUGCAACUCAGAGUUCAGUAUAUUGGCUUUCGACAUGCAAGUUGGAGGAGCCAGGGAUUAAGCCAUGAACCUCCCAAUUAGUCAAUCACGCACUCUACAGGAGGUAGACUGGCUGUGGCUCAGAAUUACAGAGGUGAACAACAAAUGGCACAUACAUGCUGGCGAGGCAGAACAAGCAGUUCUGAAGGCAAAGGGGGUCCACACCAGUACGAGUGAGGUGUACCUAAUAAAGUGACUGAGCUCCAGCUGGUGCUUUAGCCCUUUUCCCUGAAGCGUGCCGUCAUGUUUACAUCUUGCUGAGGUACAGACGGCGAUCUUGAUUAUAGACAGAUGCUGACUGAAAUAUUAUCUCCAGAGCUACAGUUCUUUACUGCUUUUCAGUUCUCUGCCAACACAAGAAUGACUGUAAUUGCACUCCAAGAAGUCCUAGUGCCAUGUUAAAAGAAAUGUGAAACAUACAUGUCCCUGUUUUGAGACGCUGAUUGUACUCUCUUCAGGAGUCUUGCAUUAGAGGUCAGGUUUCUGAUUAUGAAGCACAGUUAAUGCACUUCUGUUUUAAAAUGUGCUGUGAAACUCGAUAUCUUACAUGAAAGAGCUGCUUGUUCAAAUGUGCGUCACAGACGUCAGUCGCUUUAAUGAAUACAAACAGAAAACUGUACUUAAAAGAUAGUCGUAGACACUGUUUUGGCACCCCUGUGUUUGUGAACUCACAUUUUGUGUCACGGUUUUCUUUUGUUUGGUUGUAAUCACUGGUUCUAAUUUUACUUUGGUUAUUUUCACUAAUUGUCACCUUCCUGAUCAAUAGAAUUGUCUAUGGUCCUGUGUUUAGUCAGUUAAUUACCAACCAGCAUGUUUAAUUCUCCAGUUCUUUGUCAGAUUGUCUUGUUUUUAAUAGUCAAUCAUUUCAGCAUUUCUUGAUUUCCUGGUGUUUUUUUUCCCUUGAGUUAUUGAUUAAGCUGUGCGUGACCCUUGGACUGUUCUCAGGUUUCCCCCUUUUUCCUGUGUUUUACUAGUUUGGAUUAAAGAUUAAUUAAUUUUAGUUUUAUCUUUUGAUCAUACAAUAUCAUGUGCCUUUUUUCAGUGAUGUUUUACGACCUAAUUUGAGUUUUUAGUUUAGUUUUAGUUAAGUACGUUAACCUUGAAUGGGACCAUGCUUUACAAAAUGGUCAUAUUGCUUGUAUGAAAUUUGAAACUUGUAACUGAGACCAUGAGCUCAUUAGAAAUGUGUUUGCUGAGGUCAUAAAUCAAGAUGUAAGCAGAUUUUGUGUUCUUGUAUAUGUCCAUACAACCAGACUUACUCAAUACAUGAAAAAUUAAUUCAUCUUGCAGCUGUUAGGAAACCAGUUUCUCUUAUCAUUACAGCAGCUACU